GGAGGGGUGGCAGAGUGGUCGAUUGUACCUGAUUCGAAAUCAGGCGUGCCUUUGCGGGCACCGAGGGUUCGAAUCCCUCCUCCUCCGCCA
rnacentral:tRNA from 1 species